rnacentral:piRNA from 1 species
CCAGUCAGACAUAAAGAAUGUAAUGCA